rnacentral:rRNA from 1 species
UUAAAUUGAGAGUUUGAUCCUGGCUCAGGACGAACGCUGGCGGCGUGCUUAACACAUGCAAG